ACGAACGCUGGCGGCGUGCUUAACACAUGCAAGUCGAACGGUGAAGCGCCUUCCUUUUUGGUGGGUGUGGUUGAGUGGCGAACGGGUGAGUAACACGUGAGUAACCUGCCCCCUUCUUCUGGAUAACCGCAUGAAAGUGUGGCUAAUACGGGAUAUUCUGGGUCUGUCGCAUGAUGGGUCUGGGAAAGAUAUUGUUUCGGUGGGGGAUGGGCUCGCGGCCUAUCAGCUUGUUGGUGGGGUGAUGGCCUACCAAGGCGGUGACGGGUAGCCGGCCUGAGAGGGUGGACGGUCACACUGGGACUGAGACGCGGCCCAGACUCCUACGGGAGGCAGCAGUGGGGAAUAUUGCACAAUGGGCGCAAGCCUGAUGCAGCGACGCCGCGUGAGGGAUGGAGGCCUUCGGGUUGUGAACCUCUUUCGCCAGUGAAGCAGGCCUGCCUCGUUUGUGGGUGGGUUGACGGUAGCUGGAUAAGAAGCGCCGGCUAACUACGUG
rnacentral:rRNA from 1 species